rnacentral:tRNA from 1 species
GGGGAUAUAGCUCAAUCGGGAGAGCGCGGCGUUCGCAUCGCCGAGGUUGGGGGUUCGAAUCCCCCUAUCUCCACCA